CUGGCAGUCAGAGGCGAUGAAGGACGUGCUAAUCUGCGAUAAGCGCCGGUAAGGUGAUAUGAACCGUUAUAACCGGCGAUUUCCGAAUGGGGAAACCCAGUGUGAUUCGUCACACUAUCAUUAACUGAAUCCAUAGGUUAAUGAGGCGAACCGGGGGAACUGAAACAUCUAAGUACCCCGAGGAAAAGAAAUCAACCGAGAUUCCCCCAGUAGCGGCGAGCGAACGGGGAGGAGCCCAGAGCCUGAAUCAGCAUGUGUGUUAGUGGAAGCGUCUGGAAAGGCGCGCGAUACAGGGUGACAGCCCCGUACACAAAAGCGCAUGUGCUGUGAGCUCGAUGAGUAGGGCGGGACACGUGGUAUCCUGUCUGAAUAUGGGGGGACCAUCCUCCAAGGCUAAAUACUCCUGACUGACCGAUAGUGAACCAGUACCGUGAGGGAAAGGCGAAAAGAACCCCGGCGAGGGGAGUGAAAAAGAACCUGAAACCGUGUACGUACAAGCAGUGGGAGCACA
rnacentral:rRNA from 1 species